rnacentral:rRNA from 1 species
GACGAACGCUGGCGGCGUGCUUAACACAUGCAAGUCGAACGGAAAGGCCCUGCUUUUGUGGGGUGCUCGAGUGGCGAACGGGUGAGUAACACGUGAGUAACCUGCCCUUGACUUUGGGAUAACUUCAGGAAACUGGGGCUAAUACCGGAUAGGAGCUCCUGCUGCAUGGUGGGGGUUGGAAAGUUUCGGCGGUUGGGGAUGGACUCGCGGCUUAUCAGCUUGUUGGUGGGGUAGUGGCUUACAAAGGCUUUGACGGGUAGCCGGCCUGAGAGGGUGACCGGCGACAUUGGGACUGAGAUACGGCCCAGACGCCUACGGGAGGCAGCAGUGGGGAAUAUGGCACAAUGGGCGGAAGCCUGAUGCAGCAACGCCGCGUGCGGGAUGACGGCCUUCGGGUUGUAAACCGCUUUCGCCGGUGACGAAGCGUGAUUGACGGUAAUGAGUAAAGAAGCACCGGCUAACUACGUG